GUGGAGGCUGUGGGGUCUGAGGGGACUGUGAGGCAUGUUCUCUGUGAAGAAAGGCUCACAGCCAUCAACACAAGGCUGCACCUACUGUCCACACGGUUUGUAUGAGUUGACAGUGAGAAAUGAAAAGGCCCAUGGGAGGUAAGUGCUCACUUAGAAAUGAGGUCUCUGUCUUUCAAGAAUGAUUUGAUGGGAGCACAUAGCUUACUGGGAACAUAGGGAACGCCUAUUGUUUGAUUUCAUAUCUUCAGUAGGUAUAGAGAUGUAGUUCGGUGCUUUGAUGUUGCAUUAAGGAUGAAAACGGAGAAAGAGACUUCCUCCUGGAGUACUUUAGAC
rnacentral:lncRNA from 1 species